UACGUAGGGUGCAAGCGUUGUCCGGAAUUAUUGGGCGUAAAGAGCUCGUAGGUGGCCUGUCGCGUCGGCUGUGAAAACUCGGGGCUCAACUCUGACAUUGCAUUCGAUACGGGCAGGCUCGAGUUCGGUAGGGGAGACUGGAAUUCCUGGUGUAGCGGUGAAAUGCGCAGAUAUCAGGAGGAACACCGGUGGCGAAGGCGGGUCUCUGGGCCGAUACUGACGCUGAGGAGCGAAAGCGUGGGGAGCGAACAGG
rnacentral:rRNA from 1 species